GUCUUUUUGUAAUUAAUUUAAAGUCUAACCUGCUCUAUGAAUAUUUAAAUGGCUGCGGUAUUUUGACCGUACAAAGGUAGCAUAAUCAUUAGUUUUUUAAAUGGAAGCUUGUAUGAAAGGUUUAAUAAAAAUUUAACUGUCUUAAUUAAAUUAAAUAGAAUUUUAUUUUUGAGUGAAAAAGCUUAAAUUUUUUUAAAAGACGAGAAGACCCUAUAGAGUUUGUAUAUUUAUAGUAUGUAGAUUUUUUGUAAAAUAAAUAUUUAUUAUAUUUAUUUGAUUGGGGUGAUUUUAAAAUUUAUUAAACUUUUAAAUAUUUUUUUCAUUAAUAAGUGUUUGUAUGAUCCAAUAAAUUGAUUAAUAGAAAAAAUUACCUUAGGGAUAACAGCGUUAUUCUUCUUGAGAGUUCUUAUCGAAAGAAGAGGUUGCGACCUCGAUGUUGGAUUAAAGUUAAAUUGGGUGUAGAAGCUUAAUUUAUUAAGUCUGUUCGACUUUUGAAACUUU
rnacentral:rRNA from 1 species